GGAGUACAGAAUGUGGUUCACAGAGGUUUUAUAAGAAACUUGAAAAUGGUGAGGGGGCAUUUGAAAAAAAUAAUAAUAAUAAUAAAUAAAUAAACAAAUGAACAAAACGUGAGAUAAAACUGGGAACCCCGCAUUACAUUUCCCCAUCUCUCCCAAAUUAUCCAAUUUCACCUAGAGUCUAGAGACUAUGCCCAUCUUCUCACCCAUCGCCAGCUAAACAAUUGGCGCCACACCUCCAACCAGACUGGAAACCCCAAAGCCUAUUCUUCCACCGAAAGAGAGAUAAAUGGCACCUUGAGAUUUAGAGGCUUGAUGGGGUUGAGAUGAUGGUAGAAAGAGGAUUGAGUUAACGCGGCGAGCGAGUCUUCAAUUUCUCUGUUUCGGGAUAGCCAACUCCAUAAUUGCCAAAAUGGCAGGGAAAUUCGGUGGGGAAAACACAACUCAAAAAUUGACUUAGUUUUUUUGUUUAAUUUCUCCUUCUCUAUUACAGAUUCCUCAAUCAAGCAAGAAAAUGCAAAAAGAUUUAAAAUGAAGAAAUUAUUUCCAUGGGUGUUGUAGAAAACAAGGGAGUUUUGAUUCUGUGCUAGAUAUUGAAGGGUUCUAGGUGGGCUCAUUCCAGCCACUGCCGCGUAGAUUGUGUUUUGGCAGUUGAACGACGGGUUAUAUAUAAGGUCCAAUGGCUUGUUGUUCUUAAUCCCAAACGGUGUGACUUGUGCUUCUAGUUUUCUUCAUCUUUUUCCCUUUUUCAGUAAUGGACAGCUCAUUCUGUAAAACAUCUGUGAAUAACAUUCUAUACGCCUAGCACGAUUGUAGUUUUAAUCUCAAAUCCAAAAUUUGCAAAUCAUUUUAAAAGUAACAUGUAG
rnacentral:lncRNA from 1 species